rnacentral:misc_RNA from 1 species
UACGUAGGUGGCAAGCGUUGUCCGGAAUUACUGGGCGUAAAGAGCGCGUAGGCGGGGAUUUAAGUCAGGAGUGAAAACUGUCGGCUCAACCGACAGCCUGCUCUUGAAACUGGAUCUCUUGAGGGUAUGAGAGGAAAGCGGAAUUCCCAGUGUAGCGGUGAAAUGCGUAGAUAUUGGGAGGAACACCAGUGGCGAAGGCGGCUUUCUGGCAUACAACUGACGCUGAGGCGCGAAAGCGUGGGGAGCAAACGGG